rnacentral:lncRNA from 1 species
CUGCUGCUCCAGGCCUCUCUCUCCGGGAGACGAGAAGGCUCCGGGCACCUUGUCUCCAGCUGAGGCUGAGGGAGCACGCCUUUGUUUAGGGCCUCUGGUCUCGGCCUGUGUCAGAGCUUGCAGGGCAGUUGGAGCUCUCUCUGUAGGGACAACUGGUUUUAGAGGACUCCUGCUUUCCCCAGUUGUACCAGUUCAGGUGUAAACCUGACAUGCGAUAGGAUCCGGCAUGGUGUCCACACUCAUUAGACACAUGGCAUCGUUUCCAAAGAUUUUGGCAGAGAAAAAUCUGAGGCACCUAAUGUUAGAGUACAGCAAAGAGAGCAAGAAUGGUAUUUGUUUAGAAAAACCCUCAGAAUCAUUGCGAACCAUUCAGACAGCACAGCAGCUUCUGGAGGUGAAGGCUGAUCAGACAUGGGCUGAGUUUCCAAGUUCUCAUGGGCACAUGUGCUUUCCUGCGCUUAGACUUCUCUCCUCCAGGCUCCCACAGUUCAGGGGAACCAGCGCUCAGGUGAGAGUGACCCCUUCUCCCACAGACUCCUUGCAGCACACACAGACGUCUCCAGUGAUUCCUAAGAAAGGUUAAAUUUAUAAGAACCUAGUCACCAUUUUCUAUUUUUUAUACAUUUUAUAAAAUUGAGUGUGAUUUUGGAACACAAGCAAAUGUUCAAAAGAUCAUACUACUAGAAACAUUGUCAUUCUGCCACCCAUUUAGCUCAGAAUCUUUGAUUUAGGUGAAUUAUUUUACAUAAAAC